UACGAAGGGGGCUAGCGUUGUUCGGAAUCACUGGGCGUAAAGGGCGCGUAGGCGGCUUGAUGAAGUCGGGGGUGAAAGCCUGUGGCUCAACCACAGAAUUGCCUUCGAUACUGUCGAGCUUGAGACCGGAAGAGGUAAGUGGAACUGCGAGUGUAGAGGUGAAAUUCGUAGAUAUUCGGAAGAACACCAGUGGCGAAGGCGGCUCACUGGCCCGGUACUGACGCUGAUGUGCGAAAGCGUGGGGAGCAAACAGG
rnacentral:rRNA from 1 species